rnacentral:rRNA from 1 species
ACGAACGCUGGCGGCGUGCUUAACACAUGCAAGUCGAACGGAAAGGCCUGCUUUCCCCUGUGGAUUGCGGGUACUCGAGUGGCGAACGGGUGAGUAACACGUGAGUGAUCUGCCCCCAACUUGGGUAUAAGCCUGGGAAACUGGGUCUAAUUCCCGAUAGGACUGCAGGGUGGUGCCUGUGGUGGAAAACGAUUUUCUAGUGGUUGGGGAUGAGCUCGCGGCCUAUCAGCUUGUUGGUGGGGUAAUGGCCUACCAAGGCGGCGACGGGUAGCCGGCCUGAGAGGGUGGACGGCCACAUUGGGACUGAGAUACGGCCCAGACUCCUACGGGAGGCAGCAGUGGGGAAUAUUGCACAAUGGGCGGAAGCCUGAUGCAGCGACGCCGCGUGGGGGAUGACGGCCUUCGGGUUGUAAACUCCUUUCGACCGCGAGGAAGCCACCUGGUUGGAAGGGUGGUGACGGUAGUGGUAGAAGAAGCACCGGCUAACUACGUG